AAAAAUUCUUCGUUUCUUACAGCUGCAACAGCAGAAGGGUCCCCCUCCUAUUUCUCCAAAGGUACGUAACUGGCUCUCAUACUUAAGCACGGAAUUCAUAUGGCCAUGAUGACAGUAGUAUAUUCAUUCGUUCUAUUUAUAAAAUAUUCCACAGCGGAUUAUUACUCCAUGAGAUACACAUGUCAACCACCGACUUGUAUAUACCAAGGCCAUCAUUUAUAUGAAGGGCAAAUUAUGAAGCUGUCUGAGCCGUGUGAGCACGUUAAAUGCCGGGCAUCGGAAGGAAAAGUAAUUGUAACGGGAUGUCGCCAUUACGAUGGCAAUACAAGAAAUGUGAAAAGUAAGGAUUGGCCCGAUUGUUGUCCAAUGGAACCAACGAGUUCACGGAGGAUCUGACAAAACAUGUCCUUCUGGAUGCUCACAUGCUUAUUUAAGGCUUUGCAUUGCACGUAGUGAGUCGGUGAAUGUAUGCUAAAUGGAGAGACUAUCUU